CCUACCAUGUCCUUUUCCCAUUUAAAUAUUGAUGGUAUCACACUGGCAACCUCCUAAUGUAACUGUGGCUGGCACUCUGCAGAGGCAAGAGGAGCUGCAGGUUCUGUAGCAGGAAAACAUGCUUCCAAAUCCCCAGAGCCAAGAGUGUAGGAGCAACACCAUUUUCCCCUGCUUCAUCUUUGUAGAGGGGAGAAUACCUUUCCUGUCUGCUCCAGUUUCCAGGGACUGCUCAUUGUUUGCCAGGUACCUCCUCCUCCCUCUGCAAAGUCCUCAGUGAUGGGUCCAGCUCUCACCCAGCAUCAUCACUCUGAUCUCCU